CUACGGGAGGCAGCAGUGGGGAAUAUUGCACAAUGGGCGGAAGCCUGAUGCAGCAACGCCGCGUGAGUGAAGAAGGUUUUCGGAUUGUAAAGCUCUGUCUUUGGGGACGAUAAUGACGGUACCCAAGGAGGAAGCCACGGCUAACUACGUGCCAGCAGCCGCGGUAAUAC
rnacentral:rRNA from 1 species